UCGGGAAUUUUGGGCAAUGGGCGAAAGCCUGACCCAGCAACGCCGCGUGGAGGAUGAAGUAUUUCGGUAUGUAAACUUCGAAAGAAUAGGAAGAAUAAAUGACGGUACUAUUUAUAAGGUCCGGCUAACUACGUGCCAGCAGCCGCGGUAAUACGUAGGGACCAAGCGUUGUUCGGAUUUACUGGGCGUAAAGGGCGCGUAGGCGGCAAUUCAAGUCAUCUGUGAAAUCUCCGGGCUUAACUCGGAACGGUCAGAUGAUACUGCUUUGCUAGAGUGCAGAAGGGGCAAUCGGAAUUCUUGGUGUAGCGGUGAAAUGCGUAGAUAUCAAGAGGAACACCUGAGGUGAAGACGGGUUGCUGGGCUGACACUGACGCUGAGGCGCGAAAGCCAGGGGAGCAAACGGGAUUAGAUACCCGCGUAGUCCCUGAGCGGGCUGGCAAGGCGCAU
rnacentral:rRNA from 1 species